UCGCUGGUGGACCAGCGGUUGGGCCGCAGUGCUCUCACUGCUGCGGCCUGGGUUCGAUUCCCAGCUAGGGAA
rnacentral:tRNA from 1 species